AUGUCAUCUUUGUGCUCGGGUUCUUCUCCACUUCCCUUUUCUUCGUUGGUUCGUGCCACGGCAAGUGAGGGCGAGCUAGAGAGACGGAGCUACGGCAACAACAAUUGGUAUCGGAGCAUCGGGUUCGGAGGAGCUCGCCGGCGAUGGCGCUCGUCCCGUGCGGCGGAGGAGCACGGUGAUGCCGGGCGUGCGGAGAGCGCGGCGGCUGCGGCGGACCUGCGCGGUGACACAGAGGCUGCGGUGGCGCGGCGCAGCUCGGCGGACGGAAGGCCAAGCUCCGGGACACGCCGGAUCGGCCGCGUUGGUCGCGUCGGAGCGCGAUCAUGGCGCGGGCUGGUGGCGUGCGGAGCGUGGCAGAACAAGCCGCGGCGACGGGCUCACCGCGUCGGGCGCGUGUAUGGGCGCGCCAGACGUGGCGGGCACGUCGGGACCGCGGGUGCGAACCACGUCGAGGCGCUGGACCUGAUGCGCAGAUCGCGUACGUGCGCGGCGGGAGCGCGGGCCGGGAGCGCGAGGACGUGGGGUGUGCGCGGCGAAGGGCACGGUGGCACGGUGGCAGGCGUGGCAGCGACGUCAGGGCGGUGGCAACUACAACGACGACGACGUCGACGGCGCGGCGGAGCGCGCGCUGCGGACGGACGGCGGCAUCGAGGACAUCGGUCUCCUAUGAGUUUGUGGCUUAGGGGGCGAGAUGAGUGGAGGACCAAGUCCAGCAGCAGGCCGGCCGCGUCGAUCGCAUUGGAGCGGGUCGUGUGCGCGAGCUGGGGCGUGCUGGACAUGAACGUCGUGGCCAGUGGGUUCAGCUCGAGUACGUGCUCGAGGGAAAAGACGCCGUACGCGCGGCGGGUGGAGUUCGGGCUCCAGGAAAAACACCACCAUGUCAUCUUUGUGCUCGGGGGCUGGGGCGACAGGAUGAGGCGGAGCCUCUCCCGCACGCUGCGGGAGGACUCGCGUGGCCAUGAGCGCAACCAGCGCGGCGGCGGGCGUGAUGAUGGGCAUCGGCGUCAUGUGGAGACCGCCCCAACUCUGCUGCUGCGCGGCUCCGGCUCCGCCAGUGCUGCGCCGGCUCGUGCGGCUGAGCACCUGCCUGUGCUCUCUUCCACUGCUGCUGUUCGUGGCCGCAGCCCUGUCAGGCAGAGCUCCCCCUGGGCUGCCCGACGCCGCUCCCAGGAUGCCCUCACCCCACCUGCCUCGCCACCUACGUCGCCUACUUCGGUCCUGCCAGAUGGGGCGCGCUCCAAGCGUGGCACGGCUGCCGCGCCAGCUCCCGGGUCUGCUGCGUGCCCUGACCUCAUCGACAUGUGCUCCCCGUCGCACCGUCACGAGGCACUGGUCCUCGCCCAGCUCGAGGGGCUGUUUGUGCAGGCUCCUGCGGCGCUCCUGCCUCCCCCUGUGUCGCCCCCUUGUGUGCCUGUGACUGCGCGCCGCAAGACGCUGGCGGGUGUGGCCAUCAGCUCAAAGGGAGGUCUCUCCCUGAGGCGCACGUCUGUCCGUCGCCCAACCAAGGUGCCUGCGGCAAGGCAAGCUGAGGCAUGUAUCUGUCGCAGACUGGGGAUCAUAGAAGAUGGAGAGGAUAUAACUGAGAAGGCAAUUGAUCAAUUUGCGGCCAAGUUCAAAAACCAGCUGCCUGUUGAUGUCAUCGGAGCCAUGCGUGCUUUCUUCAGGCUAGAUGAUGUCCAGUACAAUGCUGCUGAGGAUGAGCUACUCCAGCAUGGGGGCGAGGAGGCUCUGGACCACGAUGAAGUUGGAAUGUUCGGGGCCUCAACUGCCCGGAUCGUCACGCCACUGUUAGCGAAACUGUUGCGUUAUCGUCCUGCCAGAUUGUUUGUUUGCAAGAAACCAAACUUGAUGCCGUCGACAAGUUCACAGCUCUGCUACUUGGGGGCAACCGGCUGCGUGGCCAUGCUCAGAAGCCAGCCGAUGGCACCCGUGGUGGGAUCCUCCUGCUGUGGGACGACCAUCUGGGAUGUCCAGUUCGGCUCCCACAUCCUUCAUGCUUUGUCCUCCUCGUUAUCCGACCAUUGCCCCCUACUGCUGGCGGAUGCAGUCGGGCCGAUCAGGCCGAAGACUUUCCAAUUCGAGAACUUUUGGGCCUCCCUCCCGAGAUUCAAUGAAAUUGUCUCGGGGGCUUGGGAGGAGCAUUCGGAGCACUCUGAGCCUUUCCAGGUGCUGCACCACAAGCUAAAAAAAACAAGCGUCCGCCUCAGUGCUUGGAGCCGCAGACUGCUCUCCAACGCCAAGGUUCAGCACCACGCCGCCCUUUGGGUUAUUCUCCACCUUGACAUUGCUCAGGAGAGCAGGCCCUUAUCCCAGGAUGAAUGUGACCUCAGGAAGCGGCUCAAAAGGAGGUGA
rnacentral:rRNA from 1 species